UUAAGUUUUAUGAACCAAAUACUUUAAAUAGUAAUUGUACAUUAUGAAGUGAUGAUAAAGUCAACCAUAUUUCUGUUUGUUAUCGAUAAUUUUCUUCAGAUCUAUCAUGAUAUGUAUAAUUUUAUUUUUGUAUAUAUUAUCCAUAUAAUAUUAUAUUCUUUAAUGGGUGUCCUAAGUGUCUUAUGUUCAUUUUAUAAUUUUAAUUUUGGAUGUAACUCGUCUUCUGAUUGGCUGAGGUUAUUUUGUUUAUCAGGCCAUAGACAAAAUUUAGUCAUGUGACCGUGAUGUCAUUAAGGUUUUUUCAUGGUUUUCUCUUUGUUUCAAAAUUAAAUUUAGAAUUAAAUUAUAAGUAAUAACUGUGAUAUUUUUUCUUUCUAUUCGAAAUAACAUAAAAAAAGUGAUGCACACUGUUAGAUAACCCCCUACGCGCAUUAUUUAGUGUGCACCAC
rnacentral:lncRNA from 1 species